rnacentral:lncRNA from 1 species
CUCCUAAUCACCCUUUAUCCUUGCCCCUUCCUGCUGUGUUGACAACAGCCGGAAACUGCAUUGAGAGCCUCAACCCACUCUCACAACUGUUGAUGGACUUCAGAAAGAGUUUCUUCCCUGGCAGAUAAUUCAGACUGAAAGGAACAAACAUGUUGAAAACCUCAUUCAAGGAAAGUUGUUACUAAGUGUGAACAAUGCCGAUGAUAACAGGGCUUUUCUCGGAAGACCACUUAGAAGAGCAUUGUUGUUCCCAUUUAUUUCAGGCUGCUGGGCUCUUAUCUUGCACGUGCCAUAUGCUCCCACUUAUCUGUCAAGCAGUUGGACUCCACUGAAGCUGACAGUGACGUCCAGCUCCACACGGCUGACCACCAAAUGCGGGUCAGGUGGCAGGAAAGAGGUUGUUCUCCUCUUUGCAUUUAUUCUCUGCAGAAUUGUAGCGAGCCCGGCACCCAGCUGUCGUCCACUUGCAUUUAGUGUGGCUGCCACCCAGCAAUUAGCACGCCUGGGCUGUCCUUUGGAAAGGGAGCAGAGAAGAACAAUACCACAGCGAGUUCUCCUGGACCCGAAAGCAGGUGAGUCCUACAUGGAGAAAGCAAGGUAAAUGAUCCCUUUUGCCAUUGUUUCUUACUGGUGGCCAAACCAUUAGCAAGGUGAGUCUGGUAUUUAACACUUCUCCAGGUCCUUGAAAAGGUUGCAAGAAAAAAGGAAGAAAAAAAAAAUCCACAGCAGCCCGCAGUGAUUGAAGUUCAACGGCAUACUCUAUUAUCUUCUCCUGUAUAUUUAAAUAAACCCCCAAAGCUUUCUGUUUCUUAGGUGAUAUGUGUACACAUACAUAUCUCACAUCUUGGCUGUCAACAGGGAUUGCCAGAUUAAAUGAAUGAAAGUAAAUGAAUUAAAUUUACCCAGUUAAAUUUGAAUUAUAGACACACAAUGAAUAAUUCUUUACUAUACCCGUGUCCCAUGCUGUACUUGGGACAUGCUAAAAACUCGUUCAUUGUUUCUCAAAACUUCAGAGUUAACAAUACAUGCUUUUUUUUGUUUUUGUUUUUCUGUUUUGUUUUGCUAAGUCUGGCAAGCCUACCCUCAGAAGUACAGUGGAAUCACCUGAUUGUUCCAAAUGUUUUCAGUCCACUCAGAAAGAGAGGGUAAAGCUGAAGCUCCCUAGAUUGGAUAAGUGAUAGGAAUAAAAAUGGAAGUCUUGGAGUUAAAAAGUGUGUAUGUUGUGUAUCUUCAUAGGUGAAGGGUUCUGACUCUAAAAGAAUUCAUGGUUGAGUCUGCUUCUCACUACCUUCAGAAGCAGGUCCUAGGUAGUCCAUGAUCCACACUGUCCUGAAUACAGCAGAACACAGAAAGACGUAGCUGUCAUCCCCGAGUCAUGACUCCAUCUCUUAUUUUGAAUUUCCUUUAGCUUCUCUGAACAGGGUGCACUGCGAGGUACACGAUUCCAAACAGGAUGAAACUAUUUUAUCAGCAUGAUUUUCUGGUUUCAUCUGAAUUACCUGGGAGACUGAAAC